rnacentral:rRNA from 1 species
AGAGUUUGAUCCUGGCUCAGAUUGAACGCUGGCGGCAGGCCUAACACAUGCAAGUCGAGCGGAUGAGAGGAGCUUGCUCCUCGAUUCAGCGGCGGACGGGUGAGUAAUGCCUAGGAAUCUGCCUAGUAGUGGGGGACAACGUUUCGAAAGGAACGCUAAUACCGCAUACGUCCUACGGGAGAAAGUGGGGGAUCUUCGGACCUCACGCUAUUAGAUGAGCCUAGGUCGGAUUAGCUAGUUGGUAGGGUAAAGGCCUACCAAGGCGACGAUCCGUAACUGGUCUGAGAGGAUGAUCAGUCACACUGGAACUGAGACACGGUCCAGACUCCUACGGGAGGCAGCAGUGGGGAAUAUUGGACAAUGGGCGAAAGCCUGAUCCAGCCAUGCCGCGUGUGUGAAGAAGGCCUUCGGGUCGUAAAGCACUUUAAGUUGGGAGGAAGGGCUCAUAGCGAAUACCUGUGAGUUUUGACGUUACCAACAGAAUAAGCACCGGCUAACUUCGUGCCAGCAGCCGCGGUAAUACGAAGGGUGCAAGCGUUAAUCGGAAUUACUGGGCGUAAAGCGCGCGUAGGUGGCUUGAUAAGUUGGAUGUGAAAUCCCCGGGCUCAACCUGGGAACUGCAUCCAAAACUGUCUGGCUAGAGUGCGGUAGAGGGUAGUGGAAUUUCCAGUGUAGCGGUGAAAUGCGUAGAUAUUGGAAGGAACACCAGUGGCGAAGGCGACUACCUGGACUGACACUGACACUGAGGUGUGAAAGCGUGGGGAGCAAACAGGAUUAGAUACCCUGGUAGUCCACGCCGUAAACGAUGUCAACUAGCCGUUGGGAUCCUUGAGAUCUUAGUGGCGCAGCUAACGCAUUAAGUUGACCGCCUGGGGAGUACGGCCGCAAGGUUAAAACUCAAAUGAAUUG